GGAUGAACGCUGGCGGCGUGCCUACUACAUGCAAGUAGAACGCUGAAGGAAGGAGCUUGCUCUUUCCGGAUGAGUUGCGAACGGGUGAGUAACGCGUAGGUAACCUGCCUGGUAGCGGGGGAUAACUAUUGGAAACGAUAGCUAAUACCGCAUAACAGUAGAUGUUGCAUGAUAUCUACUUAAAAGGUGCAAUUGCACCACUACCAGAUGGACCUGCGUUGUAUUAGCUAGUUGGUGAGGUAACGGCUCACCAAGGCGACGAUACAUAGCCGACCUGAGAGGGUGAUCGGCCACACUGGGACUGAGACACGGCCCAGACUCCUACGGGAGGCAGCAGUAGGGAAUCUUCGGCAAUGGACGGAAGUCUGACCGAGCAACGCCGCGUGAGUGAAGAAGGUUUUCGGAUCGUAAAGCUCUGUUGUAAGAGAAGAACGAGUGUGAGAGUGGAAAGUUCACACUGUGACGGUAUCUUACCAGAAAGGGACGGCUAACUACGUG
rnacentral:rRNA from 1 species